rnacentral:lncRNA from 1 species
CGGAGAUUGAAGUUUCAUCACGAGCGCGUGAACAGGUCUGGAAGUUAAUGAAGCAUGAUGAGCGAAAGUGGAAAGCUUCCAUCGGUACGUUUGAUUCUUGACAUUUUAAUAUCAAUGUUCGAGCUCGAGAGUUCAUUGAGUUUAUUAUAUAACAGAGAACCGGAGCGGUCGUGCUGCCCAUGUCCAGCAGAACCGUUCAGCACCCGUCCUUCCUGCCGCUGUCCGCGCGCCACUAUGGAGGAACUGCACUCCAUCCCAUCCUCCCCGAGGAAGUCUUCUAUAUUGAUCCCAGCAUGCACUGCAGGGAGAGGAUCCCCAACUUACUGACCCGGAUGAGGGCUUUUGAUUUCACCAGGCUCAACACCCCACAGCCCAUCAUGUCGCCCUGCCCGGCACCACCGAACCAGCCCGAUCCAUUCAGAUCUGGACUCCAUCCGACCAGAGACCUGGGCAGCCUCACCUGGACGGUGCGUUCUCUGGACGCCAACCUGCACCCUCGGGCGAUCAUCCAGCUUUCACAAGAGUAG